rnacentral:rRNA from 1 species
AACGAACGCUGGCGGCGUGCUUAACACAUGCAAGUCAAACGGGAAAGUCCUCUUCGGGGGGCGAGUACAGUGGCGAACGGGUGAGUAACACGUGGGCAACCUGCCCUCGGGAUCGGGAUAACCUCGCGAAAGUGGGGCUAAUACCGGGUAAGACCACGCUGUCCACGGACAGCGGGGUAAAAGGUGGCCUCUCCAUGGAAGCUAUCACCUGAGGAUGGGCCCGCGGCCUAUUAGCUUGUUGGUGAGGUAACGGCUCACCAAGGCGACGAUGGGUAGCCGGCUUGAGAGGGUGUACGGCCACACUGGCACUGAGACACGGGCCAGACUCCUACGGGAGGCAGCAGUGGGGAAUUUUGCGCAAUGGGGGAAACCCUGACGCAGCAACGCCGCGUGAGUGAUGAAGGCCUUCGGGUUGUAAAGCUCUGUCAGGGGGAAAGAAGGCACCUGGGUUAAUAGCCCAAGGGCUGACGGUACCCCCAAAGGAAGCCACGGCUAACUACGUG